CGGCACUGCGCUGCGCGCGGCUCCGCCUGGUGGUAAGGAACGGCCGUGACAGCACCAGCGGAAAGUGGUCUCCCAAGGUGUGCUUGCAGAACCCGUGCUCAAAGAUGUGGAUACUGAGGCUCACCCUCUCAUAGUUCUGCCUUUGCCAGUCUGGAGACUGGUCAGAGACAAAAGAUGUGAUGUAACAAAGAGGCUAUAGGAAAGAGGGCCACUGAAUCUCAAAAGAGGUUAGAAGAGGGAGGCUCAACGAUCUUGACAUUAUUAACUAACGGCAGCACUUGCUGCAUAUCAACACCAAUCCACAGAGACAUCUCAGACAGUACUUGAAGAAAAAGAAAGCUCUUUAAAUGUGAGGAACCAACAGCAGGAUCUCGGCCAUGUUUGCGGUUUGG
rnacentral:lncRNA from 1 species